GAUGAACGCUGGCGGCGUGCCUAAUACAUGCAAGUCGAGCGAACAGACGAGGAGCUUGCUCCUUCAACGUUAGCGGCGGACGGGUGAGUAACACGUAGGUAACCUACCUAUAAGACUGGGAUAACUUCGGGAAACCGGAGCUAAUACCGGAUAAUAUUUCGAACCGCAUGGUUCGAUAGUGAAAGAUGGCUUUGCUAUCACUUAUAGAUGGACCUGCGCCGUAUUAGCUAGUUGGUAAGGUAACGGCUUACCAAGGCAACGAUACGUAGCCGACCUGAGAGGGUGAUCGGCCACACUGGAACUGAGACACGGUCCAGACUCCUACGGGAGGCAGCAGUAGGGAAUCUUCCGCAAUGGGCGAAAGCCUGACGGAGCAACGCCGCGUGAGUGAUGAAGGUCUUCGGAUCGUAAAACUCUGUUAUUAGGGAAGAACAAACGUGUAAGUAACUGUGCACGUCUUGACGGUACCUAAUCAGAAAGCCACGGCUAACUACGUG
rnacentral:rRNA from 1 species